UAGGGUUUGAACCGCCGCCGCCGCAGUCCCUCCACCCCACGGCCGCUCAUGGCGCGGCGGAGGCGGCGGCUCCUUUUGCCCUCGUCUUGCGCGGCAUCUCUACUUUCUCUCGCCCUCUUAUCUGCCAUUAGAUCUUGAUUUUCUGUUGUUUUUGUGCAGUGAUGAUUGCUUUAUUUCUGACACCUCUUGUACGAGAAGCGCCAUUGUUGCACUUCGCUGAGCAGAUUGCAGCAAACAUAUCUGAGCACAAUCACGCGCUAAUUUGUUUGUUUAUUUUUGAUGGAUUUGCAACAACUAGCAUCUUGGUAAGAAUCGCUGGCCGUGAUGAGCACUGCUUAUUUCUGACACCUCUUGUAUGAGAAGGGACUAGUCCCUUCCAUGAGCAGAUUAGCAACCCUCUGAGCCCAUCUUAUGAUCAAGAUCUCUUUCUGUGAAUGUUCCUUCUCCGCUUGGUUGUUUGUCUUGUCAUUUGGCUUCAAUAUGAGCAAUAGCUGUGAUGAGCAUCGCUUCCUUCUGACACCUCUUGUAUGAGAAGUGCGCCUCUCUCCAGAGAGGCGCCCUUCGUUGAGCAGAGUAUAGCAACUGUCUGAGCUUUGCUUUAUGUUGCUUGCGCCAGCUUUACAAUUUUCGUUGACCAGAGUAUAGUCUGUUAGAUGGUUCACUCUUAGAUUAGUUGCGUGUCCUUUUUGUUUGCAAUUUUAGUACUCCCUCUGUAAACUAAUGUAAGAGUGUUUAGAUCACUAUUUUAGUGAUCUAAACACUCUUAUAUUAGUUUAUGGAGGGAGUAUGUUAUUGUACGUAUCUCGUGCAUAUUUGUAUGGUAGGCGAUUUAGAAUUUAUAAUUAGGGGCCUGUCGUCCUGUAGCUUUGAAAUUCUCUGUUUUUUGUUAACGUUGCAUUUUUUGCUUACCUGAAUGACCGCUGUUCUUGGUGAUUUGAUGGAACUUCUGUUGCUGAUUUCAAUUUAAUUUUGCUAUUCUUGAACUGAUAAAACAAGUCAAGAUAACUGUCCUCUCACAUCUGAUUUGUUGAAGAGCUACGAGAUGCGAGUUACAUAGUGGCACGAGAUUCACUCAUGCACUAUGCAGCUGAAUCCACUGCAAGCCAACUGAAGAAACAAACUCAAAGUGUGGUGAUUAUCAGUUCAGAAUUAAUCUUAGAGGGUGUUUGUUUCCAAGACUUAUUGGUUUAGGGACUUAAAAAAGUCUCUAGAAGUCCCAUCUAAACCAAACAGGAGGUCUUUAUAGGGACUUAAAGUGGGCAGUUGGGACUUGUGAAAUAAGACUCUCAAGGAGGGACUUAUAGGGACUUGUAGUUAUAAUAUGGUCUUUUAGUCCAUGUUAAGUCCCAGGAACCAAACAGGUAGGGACUUAAGACUUAUAAGUUGGGACUAAAAAAGUCCCAGGACUUAUGAACCAAACAGGGCCUUAUUGCAUUCAACAACACAUAAAAAACAAUGUUAAAGAUGCACUUAUGGUUAACUGGGAUUGAUUGCUCCCAACAUUGAGGAAUUCAUCAAUAGAUAGAUCAUGAGCAGCCCAGUCUUAAUUUUGUGUGUUGUCUCUUGUCUCAACUUGUGAUUUGUUUGUGCUUCGUCAUCUGGUCAUUGGGAUGUUCAGUCUCUUGAGGCUGAUUUGUUUCCACUGGACUCGUUCCCUUGAAGCAACAGUGUUCUGUUGUAUAUGAGUUAGCCCCUCUUUUGCCCUUUGGCAUCUCUCUCCCAGGGCAUUGGCAGCUCUUACAUAAAUGCACACGUCACACAAAAAUUCCUGUCGACACGUUCUUGGUAAUUUGAUUUUGACAGCUGUGAUGAGCCCAUUUUACAGUUACAGACCUGUAAUGACUCCUGUGGAAAUGAUCGCAUGGUCGAAGAACAUCUAAGGGACUGAGUUGUUUGCUAUCAGUGGUUUAGAUAUUUCUCUGUUUGUUUUGAUUUUCUUAUCUUAACAGUAUUUGUGCCUGUAAAUCUGUAUGGAUCUUGGGUAAUGAGAAGAUGGAGAAAGCAAAUGUUACUGUCACUAUCCAGUGUGGAAUUUGUGAAAUUUUAUGAAAUUUCAGCUGGUCUUUAUUCCCACAGCCCUACAUGAGGAGUAAUUUUCUUGUCUUGCACGAUCUUGGGUAAUAAAGAUCAGAUGUGUAAUUUUCUUGUCUUGCACGAUGCUGACCCUGGGUUUGUCGGAUGGAUCUCGGUUCUCUGUGAUGAAGGAAAGCCCCAAUGCUGUGGAGAUUGUUUUGGUGGCAAUGAUUAUUAUCUUUCCCGUGUUUCUGAUUUAACUCCUGAAGUAUAAGGGAAAACAUGGUUGAAUUUCUUAAAGCCACUGUAAAUACCAAAUCCUUUACUUUAUGAUCUUGGUUUAUGUUGUUUGUUCAUGGUGGUGAUGAUAAACACUUUCAGCAAACAUGCCAGUUCUGCUUCUGAAAAUUCAUGACUGAAAAGCCUGUAAUAUACUGAUCUGAGCCAUGAUCAAUCAUCUUUUAUCUAUUGUACAAUCCUAGUUUAGUUUCUGAUCCUGUAAUACUACAAAUUCGUUUGAAGACUUUAUGAUGCAUAUCCCACCAGGAUCCUGUUUGCAGGAUGAACCUACCUGGAGGCUUGAAAUUGAUGGGCAAGUCUGAGGUUCUCUGAUGAAAGAUUUUUCUUUCUUUUGGUUGUUGGUCUCUGUUUUGUUGCCGAGUUUGACUAUCCUCUUGCAAGUUUUUCUGAUUUGUGGAAGAGGCUGAAAAUCUUGGUAGAGCGUGUGUUGUCAUCAGCUUUGUCUCUUGUUCCUAUGAGAUGGGAGUUAAAUAAUGACACAAAAUUUAACAAAUUUCCACUGCGUCCCUGCAGCAAUUGCAACUGUAUGGAGAAACAAGCUGAGAUAUUGUUCUAGAACAAGUUACCUGGGCCAUAUUCUAAACUUGAAACCUGAUUGAGUAACAGUUGCCAUGAAAUGAAUUAGCUGUGAAUUGUGAAAUGGAAUUGAAUUUGCUGACGCUGGUAGCACGAAUUAGUAGCUAAUGUGGUAACGGUACAGACAUUUCACUCGUAAGUGAAUGACGCUUGGAACAUCUUUAUGUCUUUGUUCUAUACCCCAUCAACUUAAAACCAGUGAAUGGUUAAAGCAAGAGAUUUCUACUGGGUUAUCUUAACAUUUCUUAACCAAGAGAUUUCUACUGUGUUAUCUUAUCACUUGUUAAUUUCUGGAACUUAGGUGUUUGACUUCUCUUCAUGGUAAUUUCGUCUGGAUGAAGUUGUUUUCCUUUCAUGUUAGGAGUUUUAUGAAAUUUCAGCUGGUCUUUAUUCCCACAGCCCUACAUGAUGAACUUCAUAUUUUAGCUAUGGAUUUAUGUCCAGAUGGAGCUAUAAUUUUUGUCAUAGUUACUCUGAUAGGGCAUUACUGAUUUGAUAUUUGGGAAAUAACAUUGCUAUGAUGAUAAAUUAAUGGCUUGUUUCUCAAAACAUUUGCAGUUCCCGCAUAAGAGCUUUCGCCCUGACAGGCUGCUAUCCUACACUCUCACUGGAAAGUUCCAUGUGUCGACUAAUAAUAUCUAAUACUCCCUCCGUUCCUAAAUAUUUGUCUUUUUAGAGAUUUCAAAUGGACAACGACAUACGGAUGUAUAUAGACAUUUUUUAGAGUGUAGAUUCACUCAUUUUGCUUUGUAUGUAGUCACUUGUUGAAAUCUCUAGAAAGCCAAAUAUUUAGAAACGACAGAGUAAUAUCUGAUUCCUUGCAUUAGCACGGUAGUUGUUCUUUUCCCCCUUGUGAAUUCAUUAAUCUUCCUGUGCAAACCAAGGGUGGCAAAUGAUGUGAAAUACUGAAUCUUCAGUUUCAACUUUGAACCCAAAUUUUGAAGUGCUUAGUUGUGCAAUUUUUGGACAAUGACAUUUGUUUGUUCAACACUCCUGUGGUUUUCAUUUGAGUGAUUGCAUUAAGUACAAGGGGAAAUAUGGUUGAAUUUCUUAAUAUAAGCCAUAUGAAUAUUAAUUCUUAUUUUUGCACUUUUCUUCAGAGAUUUUUGUUUUCUAUUUUGACAAGACUUCCAUGACAAUUCUGCUUUUGAGAAUUUAUGACUGAAAAAUCUGAUAUAUUGAUUUGACCCAUUGCAGUUUACAAAAGCGGUUUUAGCCCAGUGGUGAUACCUGGGAAUUCAUGAUUAAUUAGCCUGGUGGUGAUAGCUUACAUGUGUACUUAGUCUUAAUUAGGAGAUUGUAAUUUGUUCUAAAACAUCAUGUGAAAUUCCAAUGAUGAUAUGCCCAACAUUUGGAGGUGCAGACGGCUCCAGGAUCUUGUUUACAGGAUGAACCUACCUGGAGGCGCUGUAUCCAUGUGACAUCAAUGGUUUUGUGGCAUUGCGGAGAUGAAUUAUGAAGUUUUGCAUGUAGAUGCAUCUGGUGGCAAUGAGAAGUCAUAUCAUAUGACUGAGCAAUGAAAUGCCAUCUGUAAUGUUUCGGGACUGCCUCACCAUUGCCUUUCAACUGUGGAUGAUUUUGCCAUUUGUACUUGUGAAGAAUGUUCAUACGUGCUGCAACAAAACAGAUGUUAUUUGUGAUGUUGCGGUCAUGGAUUAAACUACAUCAUAGACAAGCAUAUGUCUGAAUUUUCUUAUGUGGAACUUUGUGUGUUUCUUAUAAGUGUGGGCCAAAGAUGGAGUACGGGACAUAGCCAACAGUUUGAUGAUUUUUUUCAUGCCCUUACAUGCUAUAGUUAACUUUAGUGUGUGACAUGAUAAGAUGGUUGACUAUGUCCGCACUCCAUCCGAACUGUUUGUUGUUGAUUCUUCUGGUCCAGCUUUUGUUGCUACGUUCCUUCUUGGCCGCAAUCUUUCUGAAUGCUGUAGAUCUGAUCUUGUUCCCUGUUGAUUUUUUUUUGAUGCGUUGUUCCCUGUUGAAUUCUCUGCCCUCUUCCUCUUAACAGCGUGCCCUUCUGGCAAUGUCUCCUUGCUGGUCAAUAAUUGAAGAAAAAUAAUCUCAAUUUAAAGACUUCAUUUUUUCACCAAGCGUGAUUUCCCUUGAGAGCUCCAUCAACAACGGAGGGGCCAUAAGGGUCGGUAAUGCUCAGCACAUUCCUCAAAAUCAGGCUUGGCGAAAGCAAUUGUAGCAUGAUAUACUGUUUAGUGCAAGUUUGAAGUUCCGGCGUGCGGUGAACAAUCAAAGGACUAGGAUAGCCAGAAAGGUUUUCAAUGUAUUUUUAAUGUUAAGUUGUCUGAGCUGUUCUCUUUUAUACUGGAUACUGUUUUCCUUGAUGAAUAAGAUAACCAUCUGAA